rnacentral:rRNA from 1 species
UACGGAAGGCAGCAGGGGGAAUAUUGCACAAUGGGCGCAAGCCUGAUGCAGCCAUGCCGCGUGUAUGAAAAAGGCCUUCGGGUUGUAAAGUACUUUCAGUCGUGAGGAAGGUGUUAAGGUUAAUAACCUUAGCAAUUGACGUUAGCGACAGAAGAAGCACCGGCUAACUCCGUGCCAGCAGCCGCGGUAAUACGGAGGGUGCGAGCGUUAAUCGGAAUUACUGGGCGUAAAGGGCACGCAGGCGGUUAAUUAAGUUGGAUGUGAAAUCCCCGGGCUUAACCUGGGAAUGGCAUUCAAGACUGGUUAGCUAGAGUCUUGUAGAGGGGGUUAGAAUUCCAUGUGUAGCGGUGAAAUGCGUAGAGAUGUGGAGGAAUACCGGUGGCGAAGGCGGCCCCUGGACAAAGACUGACGCUCAUGUGCGAAAGCUGGGGGGCAAACAGGGAUUAGAUACCCGU